rnacentral:rRNA from 1 species
GUGGGGAAUAUUGGACAAUGGGCGAAAGCCUGAUCCAGCCAUGCCGCGUGUGUGAAGAAGGUCUUCGGAUUGUAAAGCACUUUAAGUUGGGAGGAAGGGCAGUAAGUUAAUACCUUGCUGUUUUGACGUUACCGACAGAAUAAGCACCGGCUAACUUCGUGCCAGCAGCCGCGGUAAUACGAAGGGUGCAAGCGUUAAUCGGAAUUACUGGGCGUAAAGCGCGCGUAGGUGGUUCGUUAAGUUGGAUGGGAAAGCCCCGGGCUCAACCUGGGAACUGCAUCCAAAACUGGCGAGCUAGAGUACGGUAGAGGGUGGUGGAAUUUCCUGUGUAGCGGUGAAAUGCGUAGAUAUAGGAAGGAACACCAGUGGCGAAGGCGACCACCUGGACUGAUACUGACACUGAGGUGCGAAAGCGUGGGGAGCAAACAGGAUUAGAAACCCUGGUAGUCC